rnacentral:rRNA from 1 species
UACGUAGGUGGCAAGCGUUGUCCGGAAUUACUGGGCGUAAAGGGCUCGUAGGUGGCCAACUAAGUCAGACGUGAAAUCCCUCGGCUUAACCGGGGAACUGCGUCUGAUACUGGAUGGCUUGAGUUUGGGAGAGGGACGCGGAAUUCCAGGUGUAGCGGUGAAAUGCGUAGAUAUCUGGAGGAACACCGGUGGCGAAGGCGGCGUCCUGGACCAACACUGACACUGAUGAGCGAAAGCCAGGGGAGCAAACGGG